rnacentral:rRNA from 1 species
UACGAAGGGGGCAAGCGUUGAUCGGAUUUACUGGGCGUACAGGGAGCGUAGGCGGCUGGGUAAGCCCGCCGUGAAAGCUCCGGGCCCAACCCGGAAAGUGCGGUGGAGACUGCUCGGCUAGAGGAUGGGAGAGGAGCGCGGAAUUCCAGGUGUAGCGGUGAAAUGCGUAGAGAUCGGGAGGAAUGUCUGUGGCGAAGGCGGCGUUCUGGACCAUUUCUGACGCUGAGGUUCGAAAGCGUGGUGAGCAAACAUG